rnacentral:ribozyme from 1 species
ACUCACGUCCGGCGGAAAUAGCCUAACCGCGAUAUCAUCAUAGUUUCGCGCUUCUUCGGCCGCGCAACGAGGAGAUAAUGCGCCGUGUCUUCUGCCAUGGCUGGGCUAUCGGUGGCAGACUGGUCUAUAAAUGAAGUCGAAAUUUGGCUGGAAAGGACAUUCGCAGGUGUUUCCUGCCGAUAAACCCGUGACGCUGCCAACGAUCUAACAUUGCAGUGCAGGCGUUGACGAAACAUUUGACGUUGACGAAACGAAAUGUCGGUUUCG